UGGGGAAUCAUGGUCAAUGGGCGAAAGCCUGAACCUGCGACGCCGCGUGAGUGAUGAAGGUCGUAAGAUCGUAAAACUCUUUUCAGGGAUCUUAAAGCCUGUCUGUCAACAACAGGCAGGUCUGACUCUCCCUGGAAGAAGCCCCAGCCAACUCCGUGCCAGCAGCCGCGGUAAUACGGAGGGUGCAAGCGUUAUUCGGAAUUACUGGGCGUAAAGCGCGUGUAGGCGGUCCUGCAAGUCUGAUGUGAAAGCCCCGGGCUUAACCCGGGAAGUGCAUUGGAAACUGUGGGACUUGAGGACUGGAGAGGAUGGGGGAAUUCCCGGUGUAGAGGUGAAAUUCGUAGAGAUCGGGAGGAAUAUCAGUGGCGAAGGCGCCCAUCUGGACGGUAACUGACGCUGAGACACGAAAGCGUGGGGAGCAAACA
rnacentral:rRNA from 1 species